AUUGAACGCUGGCGGCAUGCCUUACACAUGCAAGUCGAACGGCAGCACGGGAGCUUGCUCCUGGUGGCGAGUGGCGAACGGGUGAGUAAUACAUCGGAACGUACCCUGAAGUGGGGGAUAACGUAGCGAAAGUUACGCUAAUACCGCAUAUUCUGUGAGCAGGAAAGAGGGGGAUCGCAAGACCUCUUGCUUUAGGAGCGGCCGAUGUCGGAUUAGCUAGUUGGUGAGGUAAAGGCUCACCAAGGCGACGAUCCGUAGCGGGUCUGAGAGGAUGAUCCGCCACACUGGGACUGAGACACGGCCCAGACUCCUACGGGAGGCAGCAGUGGGAUUUUGGACAAUGGGCGCAAGCCUGAUCCAGCCAUGCCGCGUGAGUGAAGAA
rnacentral:rRNA from 1 species